UACGGGGGGGGUAAGCGUUGUUCGGAUUUACUGGGCGUAAAGGGCGCGUAGGCGGCCGUGUAAGUCACCUGUGAAAUCCCGGGGCUCAACUCCGGGGCUGCAGGUGAGACUGCGUGGCUAGAGCACGGUAGAGGCGAGUGGAAUUCCCGGUGUAGCGGUGGAAUGCGUAGAUAUCGGGAAGAACACCGGUGGCGAAGGCGGCUUCUUGGGCCUGGACUGACGCUGAGGCGCGAAAGCUGGGGGAGCGAACGGG
rnacentral:rRNA from 1 species